UGCUCCAAAUAAUCAGUAUAAUAUUUUAGCGUAGGAUAAUAAAUAAUCACUGAUAAGAAAAUUUUUUUAAUAAUAAAUUAAAACAUUAUUUUAGAGUGACGUAAAUGGGAAUAUUUUAUUUUUUUAUUAUUUAGAUAAAAGAUAAAAGAUAAAAAGAUAAAAUAAAGAAAAAGGGAGGGGGGAAAUAACUGGUCACCGUCCCUCCUCUGCCUCGAAAGCCGAAAAGGGCAUCUGUCUCUGCCUCUUGCGCCCCCAGUAAUUCCCGUUUGGUUCAAGCUUAGUAGACAAGCAAUAUGAGAUCCGAUUCGGCAAAAACGGCACAUGGUUUGCGACUUUUGUGAUCUCUGCUAUUCUGCAGCACAAAGGAUUUUCCUGAAUAUAUUGAAUAGAAUAUAGGGAUAAUGGCUGAGGGGAUAUCAAGUUUUUGGGGUCCUGUCACAUCCACUAUUGAGGGUUGUGAGAAGAAUUAUGCCUACUCUUCUUAUAUUGCUGAAUUUUACAACACCAUAUCCAAUAUCCCAACCAUUCUUUUGGCCCUCUUUGGUCUUAUCAAUGCCUUAAGACAGCGAUUUGAGAAGAGAUUUACUGUUCUUCACAUAUCUAAUAUUAUACUUGCCAUUGGAAACAUGUUAUACCAUGCCACUUUGCAACGCGGGCAGCAGCAGAGCGAUGAAACUCCUAUGGUGUGGGAGAUACUACUUUAUAUCUACAUCCUCUACUCUCCAGAUUGGCACUACCGUAGCACAAUGCCGACGUUCCUCUUUCUUUAUGGUGCUUCUUUUGCUGUUGUUCAUGCAGUAGUCCGUCUUGGCAUUGGCUUCAAGGUGCAUUAUGUAAUAUUGUGCCUUCUGUGCAUUCCCCGAAUGUACAAGUAUUACAUUCACACACAAGAUGCUUCUGCUAAGCGGCUUGCAAGAUUAUAUGUGGCCACCCUUCUUCUAGCUAGCUUGUGUUGGCUCUGUGAUCGUGCAUUCUGCAAGGAGAUAUCUAGCUGGCCCGUCAAUCCACAAGGUCAUGCCAUGUGGCAUAUCUUCAUGGGUUUUAGUUCCUACUCGGCAAAUACGUUCUUAAUGUUUUGCCGUGCUCAGCAAAGGGAAUGGGCCCCAAAAGUUGUCUAUUUUAUGGGUUUUCUACCCUAUGUGAAGAUCGAAAAAUCAAAAACCCAGUGAAUGAAAUACAAAGGUACCGAAGUAUAGGCAUUGUUGAGACGUUAGAGGUAAGCACUAAACACAACUAGUUUUGUUUAUCACACUGUUAAGUGGCAGAACAUUUGCCAUAUUUACAUGCCUUCUGUUGGCAAGUAUGAUAUCGGGAUGGCUUGUUUCUGGUGCUUGGAUUUGUUUUUUCGAUUUAGAAACGGUCUGUGGGAUUUGUUAUUUAACUCUUUGAGUGAAUCAUGAAUCUUGAAUUUUGUA